GAUGAAGAACGUAGCGAAAUGCGAUAACUAAUGUGAAUUGCAGAAUUCAGUGAAUCAUCGAGUCUUUGAACGCACAUUGCGCCCCUUGGUAUUCCGAGGGGCAUGCCUGUUCGAGCGUCAUUAUAACCCUCAAGCUCAGCUUGGUGUUGGGGCCUGCUGCACUGGCAGCCCUUAAAAUCAGUGGCGGCGCCAUCUGGCUAUAAGCGUAGUAAUUCUUCUCGCUAUGGAGUCCUGGUGGAUGCUUGCCAUCAACCCCCAAUUUUUCUAUGGUUGACCUCGGAUCAGGUAGGGAUACCCGCUGAACUUAAGCAUAUCAAUAAGCGGAGGA
rnacentral:misc_RNA from 1 species